AUUUGGAUAAGGGCGAACAAACCUGUUUUCCAUCUCCAAGGUUUGAACAAUGGCUGCAGCAACUGGUGUGCUUGGAAAAGGUUGUGCGCUCUUGGAGAAGGUCGCACGCCUAUAUGUUACUAGAUUUCUGAGACAGUAUAUCUCUACAGGAUGUUUAGUCUUAUUAGAAGAAAGAAUGGUGCAAACCUUUGAGGGAAGCAAUAAAGGCUGUUCUUUGAAAUCUGUUAUUAAAGUUCAUAACCCCGUUCAAUUUUACUGGAAGGUAAUGGACACGGGCAGAUUUAGGCCUUGCAGAUGCAUAUAUCAAUGGCGAUUUUUCUUUUGAUGAUAAAGACAAAGGUCUUGAGAAUCUCUUAAUGAUUCUCAUUGCCAACAGAGAUUCAAAUUGUUCCCUCUCAAAAAUGAAUAAGGAAAGAGGAAGGUGGAUGCCUUUGUUAAAGGAAGCUUGUUUAGCCCCAGCAAGAUAUCUCUUUCAUCACGUUUCAAGGCAAAACUCUCUUACAGAGGCUCGAAGGAACAUCUCUCACCAUUAUGAUCUG